rnacentral:rRNA from 1 species
UACGUAGGGUGCAAGCGUUAUCCGGAAUCACUGGGCGUAAAGCGUUUCGUAGGCGGACUAACAAGUCGGUAGUGAAAUAUCUCGGCUCAACCGGGAGACCGCUAUCGAAACUGUUAGUCUAGAAUCUCAAAGGGGAGGCUGGAACUGUUAGUGUAGCAGUGAAAUGCGUUGAUAUUAACAGGAACACCAAGGGCGAAGGCAAGCCUCUGGGUGAGAAUUGACGAUGAGGAACGACAGCUAGGGGAGCGAAAGGG